rnacentral:rRNA from 1 species
AAAAUUUAAAACGGAUUUUUGGUUUUGGCUCAUAAAAACGCAGAAAUGCGAUAAGUAAGUGAAUGCAAAAUUAGGAAUAUCAAUUUUUGAACGCAAUUGGGCCCGCCAUUUUUGGGGGUGCUGUCCACGUAAUUUAAACCUUAACC